GACGAACGCUGGCGGCGUGCCUAAUACAUGCAAGUUGAGCGAUGAAGCUUGGUGCUUGCCCCAAUUUGAAGAGCAGCGAACGGGUGAGUAACGCGUGGGGAAUCUGCCUUUGAGCGGGGGACAACAUUUGGAAACGAAUGCUAAUACCGCAUAACAACUUUAAACAUAAGUUUUAAGUUUGAAAGAUGCAAUUGCAUCACUCAAAGAUGAUCCCGCGUUGUAUUAGCUAGUUGGUGAGGUAAAGGCUCACCAAGGCGAUGAUACAUAGCCGACCUGAGAGGGUGAUCGGCCACAUUGGGAACUGGACACGGCCCAAACUCCUAAGGGAGGCAGCAGUAGGGAAUCUUCGGCAAUGGACGAAAGUCUGACCGAGCAACGCCGCGUGAGUGAAGAAGGUUUUCGGAUCGUAAAACUCUGUUGGUAGAGAAGAACGUGGGGGAGAGUGGAAAGCUCAUCAAGUGACGGUAACUACCCAGAAAGGGACGGCUAACUACGUG
rnacentral:rRNA from 1 species